rnacentral:rRNA from 1 species
UGCGCAGGCGGUUUUGUAAGUCAGAUGUGAAAUCCCCGGGCUCAACCUGGGAACUGCGUUUGAAACUACAAGGCUAGAGUGUAGAAGAGGGGGGUAGAAUUCCACGUGUAGCAGUGAAAUGCGUAGAGAUGUGGAGGAAUACCGAUGGCGAAGGCAGCCCCCUGGGCUAACACUGACGCUCAUGCACGAAAGCGUGGGGAGCAAACAGGAUUAGAUACCCUGGUAGUCCACGCCCUAAACGAUGUCUACUAGUUGUUGGUGGAGUAAAAUCCAUUAGUAACGCAGCUAACGCGUGAAGUAGACCGCCUGGGGAGUACGGUCGCAAGAUUAAA